GGAGCGGCCCUCUCGACCGCUUCCGGGAGCCGCCGGCCGGGACCGCGGGUCUCGCGAGAGUUUGCCCGUCUCGGACCUCGAGGGAGCAGGGUAUUGUUAAGCUGCCCAGGCUGGUCCUGAAGUUAUGACACUCCUGCCUCAGCCUUCCAGAGUGCCGGGAUUACAGAGACAGGGGCUUGCGAUGUAGUUGACCUUCAACUCACUGUGUAGCCUAAGCUGGCCUCAAACUCGCAGUGAUCUGCCUGCCUCAGCCUGCCAGGAAGCAGAGUGAGAAGGGAGGAGCCGGGGUCAAGAAUACACCUUUCCAGGUAACAGCCAAAGACUCACCUGCAAGGAGUACCCCCAGUACAUUCAGCUGUGAAUGCAUCAGUAGAUGAAUCUAAUGAGUUUUGCACCCCAUGAUCCAGUCACUCUCCAAAUACACGAGACUUUUGGGGAACAUUUUCCAUCUGAACCAUGACACAAAUAUAGCCAGUGAAGAGAAAAAGAGAUGAUAGGAAAGUAAAUAGAAUUGAAGGCAGAGAAAUAGGAGGACUUGAAUAUGAUGGUAAGAAGUAUGGAAAAUCAGAGAUUUUUCAAAAAGAAGAUAAUCACAGAAAAUGAACUUUGGAGACAAAGUUUGGAUGCUCCUUUCAAAAAAUUUCUUUAAUAACAAAACCUAGGCCUUAGAAUGUCUCAUCACUGUCUAUAUAAAAUUAUUUUUGUGUGUACCUUGUUGAGACUAAGUUUUGGUUAAUAAGAUACAGAAGAAAUGUUGCAAGGUAUUCCAAGACUUCUUUUUUUUUUUUUGGUGCUGGGUAUUGAACUCGGGACCUUAUGCUUGCGAAGCAGGCAGUGGAAUCACUGAACUAAAGCCCCAGCCCUAGGACUUCUACUUAAUGGAAAGAAAUUAACUCCUCUUUCGCUGUUCUCCAUCCUGCUGUCUGAACAUAGCUAUGAUAGCUGGAGCUCUGGGAGCCUUACUGUGCAAUUAUGAUGAGGUUCACACAAUAAAAGGAAGGAAAGUAUGAGUUGGAAGAAGCCUUAUGUCUUCAUAAAGUUGCCUCACAAGCUUUGAACUGCUUAACUCUAAACUUUUAUGUGGGAAAUAAACAUCUCUUAUUUAAGCCAUUGUCACUUUUCUGCUGUGUGUAGCUGGAGUAACCCUUUUUCUCUACAACCAAACUGCCAAUCCUAAGCCCUCCAUUAUUAAAAUUUUGGAGCCCAUGAUUUUAACAGGAAAUUUGAUAUAUUUGCAAGGGUGAAAUGAUUAAGUUUUAAAUUUGGGAAUGUGGAACAUUUUAAAAGAUCUACUCUAAGAAAAAAAAAAAAAAAAGAGCACUCUCCCCAAAA